UUGAACGCUGGCGGCGUGGCUAAAGCAUGCAAGUCGAGCGAACCCGCAAGGGUGAGCGGCGAAAGGGUCAGUAAUACGAUCGAACGUCCCCUGAGGUGGAGGAUAGCGGUGGGAAACUGCCGGUAAUACUCCAUGAUCUCUCCGGAGCAAAGGUUUACCGCCUUGGAUCGGCGAUCGUCCUAUCAGCUAGUUGGCGGGGGUAACGGCCCACCAAGGCGAUGACGGGUAGCAGGUGUGAGAGCACGAUCUGCGACAUCGGAACUGAGACACUGUCCGGACUCCUACGGGAGGCUGCAGCGACGAAUCUUCCGCAAUGGGCGCAAGCCUGACGGAGCGACGCCGCGUGUGGGAUGAAGCGCCUUCGGCGUGUAAACCACUGUCAGGGGGCAAAACCAAUGAUUGCCCCCAGAGGAAGAGACGGCUAACCCUGUGCCAGCAGCCGCGGUAAGACAGGGGUCUCGAGCGUUAAUCGGAAUUACUGGGCUUAAAGGGUGCGUAGGUGGGCCAGCAAGUGCUUUGUGAAAUCCCCCGGCUCAACCGGGGAACUGCGGGGCAUACUGCUGGUCUUGAGGAAGGUAAGCGCCGGGGGAACAGUAGGUGGAGCGGUGAAAUGCGUAGAUAUCUACUGGAACGCCGAUGGUGAAGACGCCCGGCUGGGCCUUUCCUGACACUGAGGCACGAAAGCGUGGGGAGCAAACAGGAUUAGAUACCCUGGUAGUCCACGCCGUAAACGAUGCGCGCUAGAUCGGUGCGGCUCUGACGCCGGAUCGGUCGAAGUAAAAACGAUAAGCGCGCCGCCUGGGGAGUACGGUCGCAAGGCUAAAACUCAAAGAAAUUGACGGGGGCUCACACAAGCGGUGGAGCAUGUUGCUUAAUUCGAGGCAACGCGAAGAACCUUACCUGGGUUUGACAUGGCCGGAUUAACUCCUGGAAACAGGAGCCACACCCGCAAGGGUGGAACGGUCACAGGUGCUGCAUGGCUGUCGUCAGCUCGUGCUGUGAAGUGUCGGGUUAAGUCCUCUAACGAGCGCAACCCCUAUCGUUAGUUGCUCGGCGAAAGCCAGUACUCUAGCGAGACUGCCGGUGUCAAACCGGAGGAAGGCGGGGAUGACGUCAAGUUCUCAUGGCCCUUACAUCCAGGGUUGCAAACGUGCUACAAUGGUGCAUACAAAGCGACGCGAGGCCGCGAGGCGGAGCAAAUCGCAAAAAAUGCACCCCAGUUCGGAUUGCAGGCUGCAACUCGCCUGCAUGAAGUCGGAAUCGCUAGUAACCGCGGAUCAGCUACGCCGCGGUGAAUAAGUUCCUGAGCCUUGUACACACCGCCCGUCAAGUCAUGGGAGCCGGGAAUGCCCGAAGUCGCCACUUCUCAGUGGUGCCUACGGCAAGCUCGGUGACUGGGACU
rnacentral:rRNA from 1 species